CCUACGGGAGGCAGCAGUGGGGAAUAUUGGACAAUGGGGGCAACCCUGAUCCAGCCAUGCCGCGUGUGUGAAGAAGGCCCUCGGGUUGUAAAGCACUUUCAGUGAGGAAGAACGCCUGGUGGUUAAUACCCAUCAGGAAAGACAUCACUCACAGAAGAAGCACCGGCUAACUCCGUGCCAGCAGCCGCGGUAAUACGGAGGGUGCGAGCGUUAAUCGGAAUUACUGGGCGUAAAGCGCGCGUAGGUGGCUUGAUAAGCCGGUUGUGAAAGCCCCGGGCUCAACCUGGGAACGGCAUCCGGAACUGUCAAGCUAGAGUGCAGGAGAGGAAGGUAGAAUUCCCGGUGUAGCGGUGAAAUGUGUAGAGAUCGGGAGGAAUACCAGUGGCGAAGGCGGCCUUCUGGACUGACACUGACACUGAGGUGCGAAAGCGUGGGUAGCAAACAGGAUUAGAUACCCUGGUAGUC
rnacentral:rRNA from 1 species